UACGUAGGGUGCGAGCGUUGUCCGGAAUUAUUGGGCGUAAAGGGCUCGUAGGCGGUUUGUCGCGUCGGGAGUGAAAUCCACUGGCUUAACUGGUGGCUUGCUUUCGAUACGGGCAGACUGGAGGUAUGCAGGGGAGAACGGAAUUCCUGGUGUAGCGGUGAAAUGCGCAGAUAUCAGGAGGAACACCGGUGGCGAAAGCGACUUCCUGGACCAAUACUGACGCUCAUGUGCGAAAGCGUGGGGAGCAAACAGG
rnacentral:rRNA from 1 species